rnacentral:tRNA from 1 species
GGUAAAAUGGCUGAGUAAGUAUUAGGCUGUAAAUCUAAAGAUGGGGGUCUAGUCCCCCUUUUACCA